AAACAUCACUGAUGAUGUUCAUGAAUCCCCAGCUGACUCUGAUGGAGUCAGAAGACAACAGUCACCUGAAGGGGCUGAAAAUUGUAAAGACCCUACAGAACAAUCAGUAAAUGUGAGUAAAUCUGUGAUUCUGUGAGUAACACACUGGGUUCAGUUUGGAGGUUGAACUCUCACUCACCAGGCCGACAGCCGUCUGUGCCACAGUUAAACUCAUGCAGUGCUAAUUUAAAAACUCUCAAAUAUUUUGGACAAUUUAUAUUUUUCUAUCACAAAACAUACAAGUCUUCAUUGAAGUAAACACACAGAGCAGUAGUGGAUUUUUUUUAAAAUAUUAUUUUUCUUUAUUUUGAUUUGCUGCUAACUGCAUUGGUUCUAUUUGUAGUUUUGUAGUAGGGAGCACUACAAAAACUACAAAUAAAAAAAUCCAAUUAACAAAUUUUGUGCUCUCUACUAUCAGCACCCCUCACUUGAAUUUUUGUUUUUCAGUUUAAGCCAAUUAAAUUCAAUCCAAAAAUUCAACCCCAACAAUCAAGUGAUCCCCUAUGAGCAAGCACAAGGCAACGGUGGACAGGAAAAACUCCCUUUAACAGGAAGAAACCUGUGACAGAACCAGGCUCAGGGAGGGGCAGUCUUCUGUCAUGACUGGUUGGGAGGUGAGGGCAAAAUAAAAUUGAACAUAAAGGAGAGCACAGUAUAGUUAUGACAGGUUGUGGACCGUGGCUGGAAAACAUUAUUACUGUUUUCAAAAGGCACCCGGUCGACAUCCACAAUUACAGUAGGGCUGGAAUGGAUAAUAAGGAUAAUCCCACAGAGGACGGACAUUCACUUCAGCUGAAAAUAUUUGAGACGGCCCAGCAAGCUGCAGGAACAACAACGGCUGCUGUGACAAGACCUAGACCUACUUUAAGUGCGAGUUUGGCACCAGCACGCCACCAACUACUAGUCUGAGCCUCAUCAGGAGGUGGUUCUGUGACAGGAGUGUUAUGUUCCUCAUGUUCAGCUGCACGUGUAAUUAUUAAACGCUGUGAUACUUCCGCUUUGAUCACAAGGUUGUUUAAAGCACUCCUGAUUUUCGCAUUCUCUUCCUUUAGUUCAUUUACCCCCCUUUCAAUGUUGUCCAGCUUAGUGAUAAUCAUUCUGUUCUGCUCCACGAGAAACCCUUCAUACUGACCUAUUCUUCUCUCGAUUGACUCAAACGUUCUGUGCAACUGCUGCAGAGACUCAUGGCAUCUGGCAGCACAACGGCACCGACCACUAGUGUGAGCCUCGUCACGAUAUGGUUCUGCGAAGGAAGUCUCACGUUCAGUUGCAUUUUGAUUUGCCACUUGGAUCUCAAGAUUAUGUAUAGUUUUCCUGAGAGCCCUGUUCUCUUUCUCUAAUUGACACAUCUUACUGUUAGCCUUGGCCAGCUUUACAAUGAGAAGCGCUCUCUCUCGCAGUUGAUGUGAUUCCUCUGUAUUAUCUCUGUCCGUAGGUGAAUUAUUUAAUGUUUCCUCUGACAUUUCUUUAACAGUAUAAAAGCACAGUGUCAAAAGAAAAAAACUUUGUAUGAAUUGUAUGAAUGUAAAAGUAUUAUCUUUGUCAAAGACAACUCGCUUUGCAAAAACGACUCGCUGUUUCUGAAGCCGCACGAAGGUAAGUAAACUGUGUUAAAGCACCUGUAUUUAUGGAUUCAUGUGGCAGAGAUGGUGACGUCGACUGCCACGUCACAGUCUCUCCUUUGAGUAGAUCAAAGCAUCAAAGAAGCAUUUAAUUUGUUUUUGAUUGAAAUUGAAUAUUACUUAAACUCUCUUAAAUUAACUUCCAAUAAAAAAGGUUUAUCAUUGAUUGAAAUUCAUUCAGAGAUGUUUAAUGAAUGAGCUGUCACAAAUAUAACUUUUAAAGUACAUAGUUGUUAUGAAGUCUGUCACAUCCCUCCUUUUUUUUUUUUCUCUUUUUCCUUUAUUUAUUUAUCCUUCUUAUUUCAUCAUACUGUAUAUUGUUACUGUUAUUUGUCUUGUUUGUCUACUGUACAAACUGAACUGGAAUGACUGACUGUUCACUUUAUAAUUUCAAAUAAAGUUGUAUUAAAAAAAAAAAAAAAAAAAAAAA